rnacentral:lncRNA from 10 species
CCAGCUUGGAACCCUCGGUGGACAGUGCCUAAGCACAGAGGCAACCACAGGUUUCUAACAGGGCCACUCUCUGGUGAAACUGAAAGGUUUCUGUGUGAAAGUGCCUGACCACCACUGCCCAAUUCAGACCACUACAGGAAACACUCCAUUUAUUCCACCUGACUUCCCACUUGGCUGCAUCCUCAACCAUUGAAAUGAAUUUGACCCUGAUAAUCUAAGGAGGAAACAUUUGAUAUUCUUUUGCAAUAAUACUUGGCCCCAGUAUUGUUUGGAAUCUGGAGUUUGCUGUUGAAUGGGAAAGCAGGAUGACGUUGCAUGUAUCCAGGCUUUGGUGCUGCUGUCCUAAGAAGGGUCAGGCCUAGUCAGCAUAUGGUGCUCUCCUUUGGUGCUAUUUGGCUCCAGUGUCUUUGGAGUCUGAGGAGGUUUGGCCUUUAAAAAUCAAACUGCCACCGGAACUGCUUUAAAAAUGUUUGGUUCACAGCCUUCACUGGAUUACCUAUUGGAGCAAACAAAGUGUAACCAUGUAAAACCUGUGAGCUUGUAUUGAUAUCUCAUGGCUAGAGUUCCAAGGUAAAAGCUAUUGGAUCUUCGUUUGUGUGUGUGUAUACAUGUCUAGAUGUGUUUAUUUGUAUGUACACUUAUUGUUAUAUGUUGUGUCAACCAAAUCAGCUUAUAAAUAAAAAAGCACUCAUAAAUUAAAUAAAUAAGUCCAAGCAAUUUUCAAGUUCAUGUGACUUAAGUAAAUCUUCAUUA